GAUGAACGCUGGCGGCGUGCCUAAUACAUGCAAGUCGAGCGAACAGACGAGGAGCUUUCUCCUCUGACGUUAGCGGCGGACGGGUGAGUAACACGUGGAUAACCUACCUAUAAGACUGGGAUAACUGCGAGAAACCGGAGAUAAUACCGGAUAAUAUAUUGAACCGCAUGGUUCUAUAGUGAAAUACUGUUUUGGUGUCAGUUAUAGAGAGAUCCGCCCCGCAUUAGCUAUUUGUUAAUUUAACGGCUUACCAAGGCAACGAUGCGUAGCCGACCUGAGAGGGUGAUCGGCCACACUGGAACUGAGACACGGUCCAGACUCCUACGGGAGGCAGCAGUAGGGAAUCUUCCGCAAUGGGCGAAAGCCUGACGGAGCAACGCCGCGUGAGUGAUGAAGGUCUUCGGAUCGUAAAACUCUGUUAUUAGGGAAGAACAAAUGUGUAAGUAACUAUGCACGUCUUGACGGUACCUAAUCAGAAAGCCACGGCUAACUACGUG
rnacentral:rRNA from 1 species